CCUACGGGACGCAGCAGUGGGGAAUAUUGGGCAAUGGGCGCAAGCCUGACCCAGCAACGCCCCGUGAAGGAUGAAGGUUCUCGGAUUGUAAACUUCUGUCGCGAGGGACGAAGAAUGACGGUACCUCGUAAGAAAGUCCCUGCUAACUACGUGCCACCAGGCGCGGUAAUACGUAGGGGGCAAGCUUUGUCCGGAAGGACUGGGCGUAAACGGAGUGUAGGCGGGCUUGUAAGUUAGGUGUGAAAUCCUACGGCUUAACCGUAGAACUGCAUCUUAAACUGUGAGGUUUGAGUGCAGGAGAGGUAAGUGGAAUUCCUGGUGUAGCGGUGGAAUGCGUAGAUAUUAGGAAGAACUCCAGAGGCGAAGGCGGCUCACUGGACUGUAACUGACGCUGAGGCUCGAAAGCGUGGGGAGCAAACAGGAUUAGAUACCCUGGUAGUC
rnacentral:rRNA from 1 species